AGAGUUUGAUCCUGGCUCAGGACGAACGCUGGCGGCGCGCUUAACACAUGCAAGUCGAGCGAGAACCUGGCCUUCGGGCCUGGGGAAAGCGGCGAACGGGUGAGUAACACGUGGGCAACCCACCCUUGGUACCGGGAUAGCCCGAGGAAACUCGGAUUAAUACCGGAUGGCCCAACAGCUCUUCGGGGCGGUUGGAAAAGGUAGCUUCGGCCUCCGACCAAGGACGGGCCCGCGGCGGAUUAGCUUGUUGGUGAGGUAACGGCUCACCAAGGCGACGAUCCGUAGCUGGUCUGAGAGGACGAUCAACCACACUGGGACUGAGACACGGCCCAGACUCCUACGGGAGGCAGCAGUGGGGAAUCUUGCGCAAUGGGCGAAAGCCUGACGCAGCGACGCCGCGUGGGGGAAGAAGGCUUUCGGGUUGUAAACCCCUUUCAGGAGAGACGAAGCUACUCGGGUUAAUAGCCCAGAGGGUGACGGUAUCUUCAGAAGAAGCCCCGGCUAACUACGUGCCAGCCGCCGCGGUAAUAC
rnacentral:rRNA from 1 species